rnacentral:tmRNA from 1 species
GGGGGCGAUUGGCUUCGACGGAGUGCCUGAGGGGCCAGAGUGCAUGGCGAGGUUCCUCGGUUACCUCGUAAAUCCCGACCGGGGAAACACAGCUGCCAAUAACAGCUACGCACUGGCUGCCUAACUAAGGGAGCCCCUUGACCCGCGACCUCACCCGGCGCGAAGUCAGGGUAUAAAAGGGUGAUCUGGGUUCCGGUUGUGUCUCAGGGCCGGAACCCGAGAAUCUCUGGGGCUGGGUUCACCGCGCCUGUCGGUCGGCUAACGGUGAACCGAGACACAUCGACUGACUAACCAUGUAGGUCGCUGGCGCCGAACUCUUCGGACGCGGGUUCAAUUCCCGCCGCCUCCAUAU